rnacentral:rRNA from 1 species
GACAGAGGAUGCAAGCGUUAUCCGGAAUGAUUGGGCGUAAAGCGUCUGUAGGUGGCUUUUUAAGUCUACCGUCAAAUCCCAGGGCUUAACCCUGGACAGGCGGUGGAAACUACCAAGCUGGAGUACGGUAGGGGCAGGGGGAAUUUCCGGUGGAGCGGUGAAAUGCGUAGAGAUCGGAAAGAACACCAACGGCGAAAGCACUCUGCUGGGCCGACACUGACACUGAGAGACGAAAGCUAGGGGAGCGAAUGGG